GACGAACCGUGCGAACGUUGUUCGGAAUCACUGGGCUUAAAGGGCGCGUAGGCGGGUCUCCAAGUCCGGGGUGAAAUCUUUCGGCUUAACCGGAAAAGUGCCUGGGAUACUGGAGACCUCGAGGGAGGCAGGGGCGGAUGGAACUUCCGGUGGGAGCGGUGAAAUGCGCAGAUAUCAGGAGGAACACCAAUGGCGAAGGCAGCUCGCUGGGGCGGUACUGAGCUGAGGCGCGAAAGCGUGGGGGAGCAAACAGG
rnacentral:rRNA from 1 species